GGAUGUGAGGGCAGCCCAGCUGCAACAUCUGUCACCCCAUUGAGAGCCAGGGUUGACUCAGCUGAUCUGGCUGGCUAGGCAGGUGUCCCCUUCCUCCCUCCCAUGUGUAUCCCUCCUGAAGCUGCAUGCUCAGUGGAAGAGGAUGACCUUCCUCAGUAGGGUCCAUUCUUCAGUCAAGGAUGUACAAGUAGCUGUGCUCCCCUGCUACAACCUCCGAACAAGCUCUCAAGGUCCAUUUACAGGAGAACACAGGAUAGUCAAGCUUCCAAGAUUCCAGUCACUGAU
rnacentral:snRNA from 1 species